rnacentral:sRNA from 1 species
AGAUUUUGUAGAUCAGGAAUGUCGGUGCAGUUGGCACCUAUGAUUCAGGGUCUCUUACAAGGCUGCAGUCAUCUCAGAGCGCUACCUGGGGAGGCUGUUUCCAGGCUCACUCGUGCAGCAAUGGGCAGGUCUGGUCCUUGUUGGCUGCUUGCUGGAGAAAUAUGGUGUAAGAUACUUCUUCGAGAUUGGACAGCUGGGGACCUUCUUCUGAUUAACCUUAAAACAACUUAUAGCCAUAGAGACACCUCACAAAG